UUUUUCUCCGUGACACUUCUUGCAAUCUUUCCCAAUACUUUAGCUUUCCUAUUUGUGUUUCUUGCCUAUCUCUCCCUGCUGUAAUAUAAGCUCCAUGGAGGUAAAUAUUUUUGUCUGUUUGUUUGUUCAACGCCUCAUCUCUAGUGCCUAUGAUAGUACCUGGCACAUGAUAACUAUUCAUGAACAUCAAUAAUAAUGAGAGUCAGUAAAUAUUUGGUAAAUAGGGGCACCUGAGUGGCUCGGUCAGUUAAGCGUCUGUCUUCAGCACAGGUCGUGUUAUGGGUCCCAGGAUCAAGUGCCAUGUUGUGCUCCCUGCUUAGUUGGGAGUCUGCUUCUCCCUCUCUCUCUGCUCUUCCCCACUGCUCAUGCUCUCACCCUCUCUCUUUGAAAUAAAUAGAUAAAAAUCUUUUUAAAAAUAUUUGAGAGGUGCCUGGGUGGCUCAGUUGGUUCGGCAUCUGCCUUUGGUUCAGGUCAUGAUCUCAGGGUCCUGGGAUUAAGCCCCACAUUAGGCUUCCUGCUCAGUGGGGAAACUGCUUCUCCUUCUCCUUCUGCCCUUCCCCUUGCUCAUGUGCUCUCUCUCUUUCAAUUAAAUAAAUAAAAUCUUAAAAAUAGAUUAAAUUAAAAAUAAAUAAAAUAUUUGGUAAAUGAAUAAGCCAAAGCCCUAUGAUUUGUUUACCCAUUUCCUUGAUGUGUGACAUUUAAAUUGACUUCUGUAAUGUGAACAUCUGUGCGUGUCUUCCUAGAGCAGAUACUAAACAGUGGAAAUGCAGGGUGAAAUAUUUGUACAAAGUCAUCUUAAAAUGUACUGCCCACUUGCCCUCCAAAAGAACUGAAUUAACUUAUAUUUCUAAGAAUAGCAUGUAAAAGUUCAAAGCAUUCAAAACCACCUCAAAUAUUUGUAUCUUUUAAUCUAUAGUUCUUCUUGCUUAGAAUAUCCUCUGUCUUCAACUCCCAUUCUCUCCCUGGUGAAAUUCUAUCCAUCCUUUAAAACCUGACUCAACUGCCAUAGUGAAAAGGUAAGCAAUCCCCUCUGAAUUACCUGGCUGGCUCAAUUAGCCAUUAUGAAGUGUGCUUUUAUGGCAUACUUUUAUAUACCUCUACUUUAAUCUUCAUCAUGUUGUUUUGUAAUUUGUAUAUCUGGCAUUUGCACUAUACAAUGUGCCUCCAGAACCUAGAAUAUUAGUCUGUCCUUAGAUACUGGUGGAAUGUAGGCAGACAGAAGUCCCUCAAUCAAUACAAGAAUAUAUUUCCUGGGAUAAUGUGGAUUCUUGGUCCUCUCCUCCAGAGAUUUUGAUUGAAUAGCUCCAAAGGAGGGCCCAGGAAUCUGAAUAUUUAUUCAGACCUCCAGUGAUUCAACUUAAUCCAUCCUCCAAGCAUACCUUGAGGAAUUCAGUUAUUAAGAAACACUAGGGAAAGUAUACUAGGAUCAAGCAUUAUAGAAUUAUAUCCUGAUGUACUACCCACCAGUCUUAUAUAUGUGUAGUUAUAAAGUCACUUUUUACCCACUUUAUUAGAGUGCAAUUGACAUAUAAAAAGCUAUGCAUAUUAAAUAUAUACAACUUGAUGAGUUUGGAGAAAAGUAUACACCCAUGAAACUGUAACCACAAUCAAUGCCAUAAACACAUCCAUCACCUCCAAAUGUUUCUUCCAGCCCUAUUUUGUUGUUGGUAAAAAUCUCGAUAUUAUUAGGUAUCUUCCCCAAAGCUCAUGAAUAUCACGAACUGAUAUCUUCCCCAAAGCUCAUCAAUAAUAAUCAAUUGAUUCAGUAAACUGUUUAUGAGAAUAAAGAAUUUACUGGCUACAAUUCACCCCCCUUAAAAAUCAAAGAACUCAAAAUAAAGUUUCGCAUUGUUUUAGUGCUGUUUCAACUUAGUGAAAUAUGAGCCAGAAGAGUUAAUGUACCUUGUAAAUGGAAGGAAACAGGAGCAUAGGGGAGGAGAGGAUAUUAUCUAACACCCACACACACCAGACACACAGAAUAACUAGAACAGAUAUUCUUAUCAUUACCCAUUUUAUAGAGAUGAAAACCAAGGUUUAGAGUAGUUGAGUAAUUCACUCACAUACAUUUCUCUUACUAACUGGUAGAAUUUAGAUUUUUAACCCAGGUCUUUCUGGCUUUAAAAUUGAUGCUUUUUUCCAUUAUACGACAUUUCACCCAUAUACUGCAAAGAAAAUAUAGCUGAAUGUGUAAAAAAAAAUUGAUUUGCGUCUCUUGUGAUGAAUUACCUAACACUACCAUUUAACAGUUGUGUAAUCUUCUACUUGUCCUUUCUUCUCUUUGGGCUUUAGCUUCAGAUGAGGGUAAUGGAUGGAAAAAAAAAAAAAUAGUGCUGACCAAAGGAAAUCUAUAGGAGCAAGACAAGCACACAGUAGCAGUCAGGAGAUACCAAGGAUGGUGACUCCUUUUGCCACUCUGCAGUGCCCCCAGAUGAAGACUAUGAUGGACAAUGUCUCUCUAGAAUGAGUAAACAGAGUGGUGCUCAGAAUGAGAGCUAUAUUCGGUUUUGGUAUUAAUAAACAUAGACAAAAUGUCUAAGACCCAUUUUGAAGUACCUAGUUCCAAAUCUCAGCCCCACCACUGUACUAGCUAUAUGAAAUCUGACAAAGCAUUUAAUCUCUCUCAGCCUCAGUAUUCCAUCCACCCAAUGGGGAUGAUGAUGGCAGUACCUUUCUCAUGGGAGGAUUAAAUGAGAAAGUAAACCUACCAUACAACAAAUCUCAGUUGUUAUUACCUAUUUUUAUUAUGCCACAGUAUAAUCAAGUAGUCAAUAGAGGCAACUAAAAUUUCCAUUCACUCACAAAUAGAAAUAAAAUCCAAUAUGCUUAGGUGCCAGGAGCCAAGCCAGCACAGUGUGUGUGCUCUAUCUUGAUGCCUAUAAGAACCUAGAAGUUUAACUUAAGGUUCCAAUUUGUGUUUAUCCAAUGUUGCAUAAAUAUUAUCUAAAUAAAAUUCUCAGGGAACUAGCAGCUUUGGAUUUUAGGUGAUGA
rnacentral:lncRNA from 1 species